AGAGUUUGAUCCUGGCUCAGGAUGAACGCUAGCGGCAGGCUUAACACAUGCAAGUCGAAGGGCAUCGCGGGGAGUGCUUGCACUCCCUGGCGGCGACUGGCGCACGGGUGAGUAACACGUAUGCAACCUGCCCUCCACAGGGGGACAACCUUCCGAAAGGGAGGCUAAUCCCGCGUAAAUCUCGAUGGGGCAUCCCAUUGAGAGGAAAGCUUCGGCGGUGGAGGAUGGGCAUGCGGCGCAUUAGCUAGUCGGCGGGGUAACGGCCCACCGAGGCGACGAUGCGUAGGGGUUCUGAGAGGAAGGUCCCCCACACUGGUACUGAGACACGGAUCAGACUCCUACGGGAGGCAGCAGUGAGGAAUAUUGGUCAAUGGGCGGGAGCCUGAACCAGCCAAGCCGCGUGAGGGAAUAAGGCCCUAUGGGUCGUAAACCUCUUUUGUCGGGGAACAAAAGCGGGGACGCGUCCCCGUCUGCGUGUACCCGAAGAAAAAGCAUCGGCUAACUCCGUGCCAGCAGCCGCGGUAAUACGGAGGAUGCGAGCGUUAUCCGGAUUUAUUGGGUUUAAAGGGUGCGUAGGCGGUAUGGUAAGUCAGCGGUAAAAGCCCGGGGCUCAACCCCGGCGAGCCGUUGAAACUGCCGUGCUAGAGAGGAAGAGAAGUAGGCGGAAUGCGCAGUGUAGCGGUGAAAUGCUUAGAUAUUGCGCAGAACUCCGAUUGCGAAGGCAGCCUACCGGCUUCUGUCUGACGCUGAGGCACGAAAGCGUGGGUAUCGAACAGGAUUAGAUACCCUGGUAGUCCACGCAGUAAACGAUGAAUGCCGGCUGUCCGGUCCGACUGAGGGCUGGGUGGCGAAGCGAAAGCGAUAAGCAUUCCACCUGGGGAGUACGCCGGCAACGGUGAAACUCAAAGGAAUUGACGGGGGCCCGCACAAGCGGAGGAACAUGUGGUUUAAUUCGAUGAUACGCGAAGAACCUUACCAGCCCUUGACAUCCUGCUGGCAGCCCGGUAAUGCGGGCUUUCCUACGGGACAGCAGAGACAGGUGGUGCAUGGUUGUCGUCAGCUCGUGUCGUGAGAUGUUGGGUUAAGUCCCGCAACGAGCGCAACCCCUGCUUACAGUAGCCAGCAGCAAGGCUGGGCACUCUGUAAGGACUGCCGGGGAUAACCCGGAGGAAGGCGGGGACGACGUCAAAUCAUCAUGCCCCUUAUGGGCUGGGCUACACACGUGCUACAAUGGCGCCAACAGAGCGAGGCAAACCUGCGAGGGGGAGCAAAGCACAAAAAAGGCGUCCCAGUUCGGAUUACAGCCUGCAACCCGGCUGUAUGAAGCUGGAAUCGCUAGUAAUCGCAGAUCAGAAUGCUGCGGUGAAUACGUUCCCGGGUCUUGCACACACCGCCCGUCAAG
rnacentral:rRNA from 1 species